GGAUGAACGCUGGCGGCGUGCCUAAUACAUGCAAGUCGAGCGAACGGACGAGAAGCUUGCUUCUCUGAUGUUAGCGGCGGACGGGUGAGUAACACGUGGAUAACCUACCUAUAAGACUGGGAUAACUUCGGGAAACCGGAGCUAAUACCGGAUAAUAUUUUGAACCGCAUGGUUCAAAAGUGAAAGACGGUCUUGCUGUCACUUAUAGAUGGAUCCGCGCUGCAUUAGCUAGUUGGUAAGGUAACGGCUUACCAAGGCAACGAUGCAUAGCCGACCUGAGAGGGUGAUCGGCCACACUGGAACUGAGACACGGUCCAGACUCCUACGGGAGGCAGCAGUAGGGAAUCUUCCGCAAUGGGCGAAAGCCUGACGGAGCAACGCCGCGUGAGUGAUGAAGGUCUUCGGAUCGUAAAACUCUGUUAUUAGGGAAGAACAUAUGUGUAAGUAACUGUGUACAUCUUGACGGUACCUAAUCAGAAAGCCACGGCUAACUACGUG
rnacentral:rRNA from 1 species